UUUACUAGGAAUCAUAUUCAAAAUGCGCUUGAAUGGCAUAUCGUGGAUAAGCAAUCCUUCCCCUUGGAGAUACCAUCAUAUCCAAGACUGUGGGCUGGUGCAUACUCCUACUCUGAGCGAUAUACGAAGGCUGAUGCUCUUGAAAUCGCACAGUAUGCAGAAAGAAGGGGAGUAAACGUGUUGGCUGAGAUUGAUGUGCCCGGCCAUGCUCUCUCAUGGGGUGUGGGCUAUCCUGAUUUGUGGCCCUCAGCUGAAUGCCAAGAACCACUUGAUGUCAGUAAAGAGUUCACAUUCAAAGUAAUUGAUGGAAUUCUUUCUGGUAAAUUUUCUUCUUCUUGCUGUUUGCAUCUAAUACAAUACGGUUUCAGUGAUUUAGAUGUUAACAAGACUAGCCACACAUAAUAAUCAGGUUCCCAGAGGCACCUGACAAAUAAAGCCAGAACUUUCUACAAGAUUAACAGCAGAGUUUGAUCAUAUCUGCAAUUGAUAAUAUUGGAUGAAUACAAUACAGUGAAUUGAUACCUUUGAUGUGACUUCUUUUCUAAGAAUUUAUUCUCAAAGUUCAUGAUAUUUUUAGUUUAGAAAAGCAAGUUAGAUUAUCUUUCAUGAUGGUUGUUAGAUGAAUGACUAAUUCCUGAUUAAUGUUUCAGAUUUCAUUAAGGUUUUCAAGUUCAGGUUUGUCCAUUUGGGGGGGGUGAUGAAGUUAACACAAGAAAGCUCAUACAUUUCCUGUUAAUUGUAAUAGCACCUCAUUUGUUUAUGCCUCAACAUGUUCUUUUUAGUCAUCA